rnacentral:rRNA from 1 species
AAUAGAUACCCGGGUAGUCCACGCCGUAAACGAUGAGUGCUAAGUGUUAGAGGGUUUCCGCCCUUUAGUGCUGCAGCUAACGCAUUAAGCACUCCGCCUGGGGAGUACGGCCGCAAGGCUGAAACUCAAAGGAAUUGACGGGGGCCCGCACAAGCGGUGGAGCAUGUGGUUUAAUUCGAAGCAACGCGAAGAACCUUACCAGGUCUUGACAUCCUCUGACACUCCUAGAGAUAGGAUUUUCCCCUUCGGGGGACAGAGUGACAGGUGGUGCAUGGUUGUCGUCAGCUCGUGUCGUGAGAUGUUGGGUUAAGUCCCGCAACGAGCGCAACCCUUGAUCUUAGUUGCCAGCAUUCAGUUGGGCACUCUAAGGUGACUGCCGGUGACAAACCGGAGGAAGGUGGGGAUGACGUCAAAUCAUCAUGCCCCUUAUGACCUGGGCUACACACGUGCUACAAUGGAUGGUACAAAGGGCUGCAAGACCGCGAGGUUUAGCCAAUCCAUAAAACCAUUCUCAGUUCGGAUUGC